GUCACAUCAUGUCAGCUCUGUCACAUUUAUCCACUGCAGGGUUUCAUCAAGUCCAAGAACUGCUUCCAUCAGACCUUCAAACUUUUCUUCUUUAAUGAGCGUCAGUGCUGCUGCAGCCAUCAUCAGUCACAUGAGACAGGGAGUGUGUUUGUGCAGAGCAGCAGAGGAACGCUCUCUCCCAGUCAUUCUGGAUCACAUCAGUGAUCUCACCUGAGUUCAUACGGCUUUUCAAACAGGAAGUAAAGUCGAUCAGAGUAAUGACCCACUGUGUCACAUCAUGAACACAACAACUUCUCACCAUCAGCUGAGUGACGGCGGCCAUGUUUCUGCCGUUCACUGUGACUGUGGCUCAUCAGUCGCUCUGCUCGGCGGGCAGUGACACGUUCAGGUGGAGCUCAGUAGAUUGAUGGAGUCUCUUCUUAGACAGCUGUCUGUCCACAGCCUGACCGUCAUCUGUCCGUCUCUGCAGCCUCCAUGCUGUCGGUCCACUUUGAUCCAUGAGGGGAUUCAGCCGUCUGAUACACAGUGACUGAGUGACAGUUAGGAAAUCUACUGUAAUAAUAACAUCAGCAGUCAGUCCACAGCCAGACACUCACCUGUUCACUGCUGCACU